UACGUAGGGCGCAAGCGUUGUCCGGAAUUAUUGGGCGUAAAGAGCUCGUAGGCGGCUUGUCACGUCGGGUGUGAAAGCCCGGGGCUUAACCCCGGGUCUGCAUUCGAUACGGGCUAGCUAGAGUGUGGUAGGGGAGAUCGGAAUUCCUGGUGUAGCGGUGAAAUGCGCAGAUAUCAGGAGGAACACCGGUGGCGAAGGCGGCCAACUGGACGAAUACUGACGCUGAGACUCGAAAGCGUGGGGAGCAAACAGG
rnacentral:rRNA from 1 species